GCCAGGUUAGCUCAGUUGGUUAGAGCAUGGUGCUAAUAACACCAAGUUCACAGGUUCAAUCCCUGCUUACUGCA
rfam:Pelecanus crispus contig86592, whole genome shotgun sequence.